rnacentral:misc_RNA from 1 species
GUGAAUCAUCGAAUCUUUGAACGCAUAUUGCACUCUCUGGUAUUCCGGAGAGUAUGCCUGUUUGAGGGUCAUUAAAAAGAUUCUUUAACCUAUUUCUUUGGUCAAAGGACAUGAGUUCUCUGCGCUUAUAGCGGUAGCUUGAAAUAAAUGGUAAAGUUUCAUUUUAGUCGAGACACGUAAUAAUAUUAUUUAUCGA